AGCAGAGACACCAGACUUGGGUUGGGCUCUCUUUGGGGUGGCUUUGGGGGUUCUUGCUGUCAGCAUGGUCUCUUGGAGCAGCUGGAACAUCCGUUAGGCUGCAUGGGUCUGACAUGCCGUGUUUGUGAAACCCGCUGCAUUUGCGGUUGACCAGAGUGCUGAAAUAAGCCCGUCCGGAAUUGGUAUACUGCUCUGUAUCCUGAUGUGGUGGGGGACCUGCCCCUCUAUACCAGCCUGAACAGGAACAUCAGCACUGCUCGCUGCCUGAGACUUUAAUGUACAUCUUCUCUGGGUCUCUGCCCAGGCUGGGUUUGGUCUGCUGCCUACCAGCAAAGCUUUGAGUGUGAUGGGAGCACUCUCUGCUGCAAGAAGGUGCUUUUCCAUGGCUGUGUAAGGAGCAAAGCUCCCCUUGUCACUGGUAUCAGCUGCUGUAGCCUUGCUCACGUUGCCAGAGAAAGACUGGUUAUCCUGUAUCUCUCCCACUGCCCGGUCCACAGCUUCUUCAGGACUCCACAGCUUCCAACCAUGCAGGUCUGCCGGGGAGUGGGUAGAGGGGCCGACUGCAAACACAUGCUCCUGUGCCAGCCGAGCUAUUGCAAAGGUGAUGCUUGCUCCUGCCUGUGAGGCUGGACGUGGGCAGUGCCAGAGUGGGAGCUGACAGUCCUGGGUACAGAUAGCAGGGGUGGGUGACAAAAUCUUCUGUGACCAGUCAGGGGUAAAUCAUGCAGGAGCAAGGGGUGAAGUGCCUGUCUGGGCUGCCUUGUUCCCACGCUAUAUGCAUUGGGUAUCCAGGGAUGCUGAAUACAUAUGAUAAAAAUUGAAGUCCACUUGCAAGUCAUCAGUAAAGUGUAAGGAUAACAAAUUUUGGCAAUAGAAUUGUUGCUAGUUCAAAAAGCUGCCAUGUGAAGGUGCCCUGUGGCACAGCCCAACCAAAAGGUAGCAAAAGCUGCUGCCUGUUCUAAAUCUCUGGCACAGGAAUGUCCCAAGGUGGAGGUUACACCCAAUCUUGCGGGCACAGCUGACCUAGGACCCCGCAUGGGCCAUGCAAGCAGAGGCAAGAGGCACUGCGGGUGCAGGAACCAGCAGGGAUGGGGUGAGAAGGGAGGGUAGGCAGGGUGCAAGCCCAGCUCUCUGCUCCUGGGAUGGGCAUUCUCCUGUGUUCCUGGCUCCUGUGGCUGCUGCCCAUGCUCUGCUCCUAUCACUCACAGAGGUGGUGCUGUUCACAGGUUACUCUCAGACUGUUAACUGGGAUAGAGCUAGGAGGUUUUUGCAUCCACCCACCUGCUGGAGAGCUGCAGCCUCAUUCAGAACUGAGUGUCAUUCAUUUAUCUGGAUGAUGAGGAAUCCUUCAACCCCUGUAGUUUUGUCCCACAAGCUCCUUCUCAAGCAAGCCAAGUGUUCUGUAUCCCAAACAGCACCCCCUCAUAUGAAGGACCAAUCUAUCAAGGACUCUCAGCUGGGAUGCUCACUCUGAUGUUCUGGUUGUAUUAUUUCUUUUUAGCCUUAGCACCUCAGUAAUUCACCUGCCCAGAGCUGGUACUCACUUCCUCAGCACACACCUUGUCCCUGCUAACACACAUCAUGUGGAUGUGCUCUUUCACCACCAGCUUCUCUAAAUGCUCCUCAUCAUCCCUCCCUGAAUGCCUUGAGAUUGUAUAAUCUCCCUGGGUGCCAAACAGGCACACAAGACACCACACAAGUGUGUUGGUGUGUACAUUGAGCAGCAGAGAAAUGUGGUUUUGGCUGCCUGGGACCCUGAGCAGCUGGAUCUCGCUGAGGACACUGUCCUGCCUUUUAGCGGCAGCAGCCCUGGGGGCUGGCUCUGAGAUCCUCACUGUCAUUUCCUUCACCAGUCCCUUUUUCUCUUUGCAUAGCAGGUUUACCAAAGAGGUGCCAAGCAUUACCAUCACCUUCCCCCAUCCUUGUUCAGAACAAUUGCCACUGUGAUGCUGCUCUGUGGGUGAUGAGCAUGAAUAUUUCACCAUGGGAGGGUAUGUGGUUAGCCAUCAUCUCUGGACUUUGGUCCAAGCCUAGCAAGCCCUGGACCGCUCCAUUCAGGAUCAAUUCAAAAGUAAGAGGGCAAGAAGUACCCAUGGUCUUCUUGCUUGUGUACCUGGCUGAGAGUAAAAUGUCCUAAUGGCAAGCUCCAGGCAGAGCCUUACUUGCACAGCCACUCAGGAGCCUAAUACAGUCAGGAACUCUGAAGGAUGGGGGGAAACCACCAGGUUGUGUGUCCAGCAGCUGGAUGUGGCAGGGUAUAGUGGUCAGAGACACAAUGACAUGGAGGCAGCCAGCAGAGCCUGCAUGCCGAAGCAAACAUCUCCCCUCAGUGAGGAGGGGCCCAACACACUGUGCUGUGUGGCUCCUGCUUUAGCUGUGAGCUCACAGCUUCUCUGCUCCCUACCUCUGUGCUCUCCGAGGUGUUGGGGGCAGCUCCUCUCUUUUGAGUUCCCAUGAUGUGCAGAACUCAAGAGACGUGGGAUACUCCUGGGUCACUCUUUGCUGGGGUUGGCUUUCUCCAAGCGGUGCUGUUAGGCUGAGGCAGUUGCAUCCCUGCUGGCCAAGUGAUGCCCCUGCACCUCUUGGCUGUGUCUCGUGAACCACUGCCAUGCUCAGCCCUCACAUCCCCAUGGAGAAGAAUGGAUGCUCCUCAUCAUCUUUGGAGCCCCUGGCAUGGCAGAGGCUUCAGGUUGGGCACUACAGAGAGCCACACAAGUGACAUAAAUGGAGGACAUCCCCUGACACCAGAGCCAUCAAAGCUGGGUCUGCCAUGGCAGGCAAGGCCCACACUGACCCUUGGGUGCUCCUCCAGCUUCAGUGUGCAUGACUACUGUCUUUGGGAGGAGGAGGAAGCUCAACAGUGAAAGUUGGAGCCCUGCACAAGAUGGGGCAGUGGGGCUGAGAAGGGAGGAUGGGGAUCCCAGCGAGCCCACCCUGGCCCCAGUGGGGUGGGCUGCCUUGGCUGUGCCUCAAAACACUGGAGCAGCCCCAGAGGAGCUCCCUGUGCCCUGAGGACGUUUUCUGUUUGCUGCCCAUGCUGAAGCACUGGCCCUUCAACCGCCACCAGUCCUCUGCUUCCGGCAGGGGCUCCCGCCCGGAGCCCCCCUGCAUUAUCAGCUCACCAGAUGCCUUUUUC